GUUGGUGGCACAAUGGGUGAAUGCCUUUGGUUCUUAACCAGAAGGUUGAUGGUUCAAGCCCACCCAGGGAUG